rnacentral:tRNA from 1 species
UCCCUAGUGGUCCAGUGGUUAGGACUCUGUGCUUCCAUUGCUGAGGGCCCAGGUUCGAUCCCUGGUCGGGAAA